rnacentral:misc_RNA from 1 species
GCAAACUUGGUCAUUUAGAGGAAGUAAAAGUCGUAACAAGGUUUCCGUAGGUGAACCUGCGGAAGGAUCAUUAUUGAAUAAACUUGGUGGGUUGUCGCUGGCUCUUCGGAGCAUGUGCACGCCUACUGACUUUAUCCAUCCACCUGUGCACCCUAUGUAGUCUCUAAGGAUGAACGUGGCUUAGCCUCGAUGGGCUUCUGGCCUAUCGGAUAUGAGGAAUGCUGUGUAGGCUUUCCUCGAUAGCCUGUUAUCAUUUUUGGGGACUAUGUCUUUUCAUACACCAUAUUGUAUGUUGCAGAAUGUAUCCAAUGGGCCUACAUAAGCCUAUAUAAAACAAUACAACUUUCAGCAACGGAUCUCUUGGCUCUCGCAUCGAUGAAGAACGCAGC